rnacentral:rRNA from 1 species
AUUGAACGCUGGCGGCAGGCCUAACACAUGCAAGUCGAAUGGUAACAGGAAACAGCUUGCUGUUUCGCUGACGAGUGCGGACGGGUGAGUAAUGUCUGGGAAACUGCCUGAUGGAGGGGGAUAACUACUGGAAACGGUAGCUAAUACCGCAUAACGCGGCAAGCCCAAGGAGGGGGACCUUCGGGCCUCUUGCCAUCAUAUGUUCCCAGAUGGGAUUAGCUAGUAGGUGGGGUAACGGCUCACCUAGGCGACGAUCCCUAGCUGGUCUGAGAGGAUGACCAGCCACACUGGAACUGAGACACGGUCCAGACUCCUACGGGAGGCAGCAGUGGGGAAUAUUGCACAAUGGGCGCAAGCCUGAUGCAGCCAUGCCGCGUGUAUGAAGAAGGCCUUCGGGUUGUAAAGUACUUUCAGCGGGGAGGAAGGGAGUAAAGUUAAUACCUUGGCUCAUUGACGUUACCCGCAGAAGAAGCACCGGCUAACUCCGUG